rnacentral:rRNA from 1 species
ACAGAGGGUGCGAGCGUUAAUCGGAAUUACUGGGCGUAAAGCGCGCGUAGGCGGCUUUUCAAGUCGAUUGUGAAAUCCCCGGGCUUAACCUGGGAACUGCAGUCGAGACUGUCUAGCUAGAGUAUGGGAGAGGGAAGUGGAAUUCCAGGUGUAGCGGUGAAAUGCGUAGAUAUCUGGAGGAAUACCGGUGGCGAAGGCGGUCUGCUGGGCCGUUGCUGACGCUGAGGCGCGACAGCGUGGGGAGCAAACAGGA